rnacentral:rRNA from 1 species
GACGUAGGAUGCAAGCGUUGUCCGGAUUUAUUGGGCGUAAAGAGUUCGUAGGUGGUUUGUUAAGUCUGAUGUUAAAGACUGGGGCUCAACCUCGGAAAUGCAUUGGAUACUGGCAGACUUGAGUGCAGUAGAGGCAAGCGGAAUUCCAGGUGUAGCGGUGAAAUGCGCAGAUAUCAGGAGGAACACCGAUGGCGAAGGCAGGUCUCUGGGCCACUACUGACGCUGAGAAGCGAAAGCAUGGGGAGCGAAACAGG